AGUGAACGCUGGCGGUAGGCCUAACACAUGCAAGUCGAACGGCAGCACAGUAAGAGCUUGCUCUUACGGGUGGCGAGUGGCGGACGGGUGAGGAAUACAUCGGAAUCUACUUUUUCGUGGGGGAUAACGUAGGGAAACUUACGCUAAUACCGCAUACGACCUACGGGUGAAAGCAGGGGAUCUUCGGACCUUGCGCGAUUGAAUGAGCCGAUGUCGGAUUAGCUAGUUGGCGGGGUAAAGGCCCACCAAGGCGACGAUCCGUAGCCGGUCUGGGAGGCGGGUCGGCCGCACGGGAGCGGGAACGCGGUCCAGACGCCUGCGGGAGGCAGCAGUGGGGAAUAUGAGACAGUAGUCGCAAGCCUUAUCCAGCCAGACCGCGUGGGUUAAGAAGGCCUUGGGGUUGUAAAGCCCGUUUGUUGGGUAAGAAAAGCAGCAGGUAAAGACGCCGCGGUUCUGACGGUACCCAAAGAAGAAGCACCGGCUAACUUCGUG
rnacentral:rRNA from 1 species